AAUAACUGUAUUUUCCUUUCCCAUUUAAAGCACUUUUCAUGGAGGAAAGUGAUCAAACUGACAACAAGUAGAAAGAGCCAAAGUGGAAGUUCUGUGACCAUAGAUCUAGAAAUAAGGUAGGUGUCACUCCAGAAUCUGUCUGCCAGAAAAGAAGAGGAAGAAAACUCCCCAGCCAGGCUCCAGACUCAGCUGGGUGGCAAUGUGGAACAGUGGAUGCGACAACACUUGGAAGAAGCUGAAGGACUGCAAAGACCUCCUGAAAUUUUGACACCAAAAGAAAUUUGACUCCUGGCUUCAAAGGUUGCAAAACAAGAUGGUAUGCUGUGACACAGCAUGGGAGAAAAUAAUGCAUCAGCAGUGAGAAGUAAAAUGGCUCUGCAACCUGCAAUGUCUGUAAAGAGAGUGAACAUUCAGGAAGAAUGUAUUGCACUGAACUUCUCCAAUUGCUUCAGGACUUCUUCAAGAGGAUUUUUUAAUUAUCAUUAUUAUUAUUACCUUCUAUGCCAUUUCUUUUCAUAUUCAUUAGUAGAGGAGCUUCCAAUAUUACUGUAUGAAGCAUGUCAGAAUAGAUUCCCUAUAGCAAAACUACAGACAUCAGAGAUAAGAGUCCAAUAUAAUCAGUGAUCUCUGCUGACGCAGACACCAGACUCAAUUAUUUCUUCUGAGAUAUUCUAGUGCAUUUUAUCCAGUUUACUUUAAAAAUGUUAUCCAAAAUGGACCAAAUUGUAAUCCAAAGGUCAAAUAUUAGCCUUUUAUAACUAAAGCACAUUCCCUGAGAAGUCAUCCUGAAGGUAUUUUCCUGAUUUUUUCCUCUGAACUUAUGCUGAAUAUAUAAUUCCCUUACUUUAAUUU